rnacentral:ribozyme from 1 species
GUUGAACGGUGGACUUGGCACAGGCAUGGGCCUCGAGAAGGCAAAGUCACUCCUGCCGGUUGUUGAUGGCAACACAUUCCUUGACUUGAUCGCCA